rnacentral:rRNA from 1 species
GACGAACGCUGGCGGCGUGCUUAACACAUGCAAGUCGAACGGUGAACCUCUUCGGAGGGGAUCAGUGGCGAACGGGUGAGUAACACGUGGGCAACCUGCCCCCGGCUCUGGGAUAACUCCAAGAAAUUGGGGCUAAUACCGGAUGUUCACCGCUUCCCGCAUGGGUGGUGGUGGUAAGGGUUUCCGGCUGGGGAUGGGCCCGCGGCCUAUCAGCUUGUUGGUGGGGUAGUGGCCUACCAAGGCGACGACGGGUAGCCGGCCUGAGAGGGUGACCGGCCACACUGGGACUGAGACACGGCCCAGACUCCUACGGGAGGCAGCAGUGGGGAAUAUUGCGCAAUGGGCGGAAGCCUGACGCAGCGACGCCGCGUGGGGGAUGACGGCCUUCGGGUUGUAAACCUCUUUCAGCAGGGACGAAGCGCAAGUGACGGUACCUGCAGAAGAAGCACCGGCCAACUACGUG